rnacentral:lncRNA from 1 species
AAAAAUAUCAAGGAAGACUGCCUUUUUACUGUGACUGUGAGAAAGCGACAUUUGAACUUCUGAGCUGUUGGACGCUCAUCUGUAAAGAGAAAUAACAAGAGCAGUUUUUCAGAUUGAUUGUCAGGAUUAAAUGAACUGCGUAAGCAAAAAAAGUCUGUAUACUGAUGUUAUCCUACUGAUUUAAAUCUCUAUUAUCCCUUCAAUAAAUUCUUUUGUUACCACCCAUUGGUGAACUUAACCAAGGUUUAAUUUUUUAAAAUUUUUGUGUGACCAUGCCUUGGCUCUGGAGCUGGUUUGCCAAUACCUUAAAGAUGAGAAGAUAAUUUGUAACCCCCUACUGCGUAUCACAUAUAAUAAAUACUUGGUACAAAGCUGUCCAUUGAUUUUCUUGGUUUAACCUUGCCAUUGCUAUAAAGAAAGAGCCUGCACAUCUAAUUUAUUACCGCUGCUACUUUAACUGUGUUGUGGCAUCUGGAGAAAUGAUAAUCAGCUGCAGCUUUUUUCCCCUCUUGACUGUGUGAUUCAACACUGUGCUGUCAUCAUCUCCAUUAGUAGCCAUCCCACAUGACUCAAAGAGAAGGAUGGAAAUGGGUCUCACCCAAGACAAUAUAAAAGCAAAGAUAAUACAAUAAAUUAAGACUUAAGCUAAAACUACAAAAGAAAAGUGGUGAUUCUGAGAAAUACAGAUGUUCAGUUUUUGACAAUUUAUUCCAACUAUCCCCUCAACCCCAUCACACAUUCUUUUUUCCUUCCAGAGACUAUUUUCUGAAUGAAAGGGUGGAGGUACCAGCAUCGUCUUGUCUCAAAGGCGAAGAGUCGGGACCAGGAUGUGAUAAAAACCGAGGUGUCUGUAAGCCCAUUUUUAUCAACAGAGAGACACCAAGGGAACUGAACCGAUUUGACUCAUGAGAAGAAGACCUUGCCCUCAGGGUGGCAAACACGAAUGCCCCUUCUAUGAACAGCAUCCUGUAUCUCUGAUGACUUCCUUUUCUUGAUAUCCUGUUAAGGCAAUAAACCGUGAAUCUCAGAAAACGGUUAAAGAUAGGGCAAAGCUGGAAAGCGUCUUCCAUCCUUACUUUGUCUCUGCAAACUUAGCAGGCCAUGUAAGUAGGUAACCAACACAUCUAUUACGUUAUAAACUUUCUCUGAUAAGUUAUGCACAAUAGCUUUCUUUCAUCAUUCAUUCACUGACUCUGUUAGGAAACUUUAAUAAGGAAGGUACAGCUCAUGAUGUCUUCUGCUUCCUCUCAUCAGAAGGUAUUGGUUAAUAGUAUUCUAAAGCCGGGAAAAGGAGACAAAUGGUUUGGGGAGAAUUAGGGGGAGAGAACUCAGAAAAUACUUGACAAAAACUACUGGGUAGCCCACUUGAUUAAAAACUCAUAUUUCAGCAAAUUUGGCAUCAAUGCCUGUUUCUAUAAAAUAUAAAGUAAAAUUCUUAUCCUUUCCCAUUUUUUUAAGCUUCUUUCUUUAAUUAAAAAAAGUUAUUAAAGUAUCAUUGAUUUACAAUGUUUCUGGAGUAUAGCAAAUGAU